AUUGAACGCUGGCGGCAGGCUUAACACAUGCAAGUCGAGCGGGGGAGGUGGCUUCGGUAACUGACCUAGCGGCGGACGGGUGAGUAAUGCUUAGGAAUCUGCCUAUUAGUGGGGGACAACAUUCCGAAAGGGAUGCUAAUACCGCAUACGCCCUACGGGGGAAAGCAGGGGAUCUUCGGACCUCGCGCUAAUAGAUGAGCCUAAGUCGGAUUAGCUAGUUGGUGGGGUAAAGGCCUACCAAGGCGACGAUCUGUAGCGGGUCUGAGAGGAUGAUCCGCCACACUGGGACUGAGACACGGCCCAGACUCCUACGGGAGGCAGCAGUGGGGAAUAUUGGACAAUGGGCGGAAGCCUGAUCCAGCCAUGCCGCGUGUGUGAAGAAGGCCUUUUGGUUGUAAAGCACUUUAAGCGAGGAGGAGGCUCUUAAGGUUAAUACCCUUGAUGAGUGGACGUUACUCGCAGAAUAAGCACCGGCUAACUCUGUGCCAGCAGCCGCCGUAACAC
rnacentral:rRNA from 1 species